rnacentral:rRNA from 1 species
UACGGGGGGUGCAAGCGUUAAUCGGAAUAACUGGGCGUAAAGGGUUCGUAGGUUGAGAGAUAAGCUAUAUGUGAAAUACCCGAGCUUAACUUGGGGAGGUCAUAUAGGACUGUUUUUCUAGAGUAUAGGAGAGGGUAGUGGAAUUUCCGGUGUAGCGGUGAAAUGCGUAGAUAUCGGAAGGAACACCGGUGGCGAAGGCGGCUACCUGGCCUAAUACUGACACUGAGGGACGAAAGCGUGGGGAGCAAACAGG